rnacentral:rRNA from 1 species
GACGAACGCUGGCGGCGUGCUUAACACAUGCAAGUCGAACGGAAAGGCCCUGCUUUUGUGGGGUGCUCGAGUGGCGAACGGGUGAGUAACACGUGAGUAACCUGCCCUUGACUUUGGGAUAACUUCAGGAAACUGGGGCUAAUACCGGAUAGGAGCUCCUGCUGCAUGGUGGGGGUUGGAAAGUUUCGGCGGUUGGGGAUGGACUCGCGGCUUAUCAGCUUGUUGGUGGGGUAGUGGCUUACCAAGGCUUUGACGGGUAGCCGGCCUGGGAGGGUGACCGGCCACAUUGGGACUGAGAGACGGCGCAGACGGCUACGGGAGGCAGCAGGGGGGAACAUUGCACAAUGGGCGGAAGCCUGAUGCAGCAACGCCGCGUGCGGGAUGACGGGCUUCGGGUGGUAAACCGAUGUCGCCUGUGACGAAGCGUGAGUGACGGUAAUGGGUAAAGAAGCACCGGCUAACUACGUG